GACGUAGGGGGCGAGCGUUGUCCGGAAUUACUGGGCGUAAAGCGCGUGCAGGCGGCUUGGUAAGUCCCGUGUGAAAGCCUACGGCUCAACUGUGGGAGGCCGCGGGAUACUGCCGGGCUUGAGGGCAGGAGAGGGAAGUAGAAUUCCCGGUGUAGCGGUGAAAUGCGUAGAUAUCGGGAGGAAUGCCAGUGGCGAAGGCGGCUUCCUGGCCUGUCCCUGACGCUGAGACGCGAAAGCUGGGGGAGCAAACGGG
rnacentral:sRNA from 1 species